rnacentral:piRNA from 1 species
UCAGAGGGAUUGAAAACCAGGCUG